rnacentral:ncRNA from 1 species
CUUGAGAGCCGUGGAAGACGACCACGUUGAUAGGCCGGGUGUGGAAGCGCAGCAAUGUGUGAAGCUUACCGGUACUAAUCGCUCGAUUGGCUUGAUCGU